ACUCGAAUGUGCCUCGGAUUCAAAUCGGACAUAUGACAGAUAUGUCAAAGAUGUCCACUGAAUAGCUUGGAUUUGGAUCAGAGAUCAGAUUAGUGCGUAAGCAAUAUACGAUUUGGUCCGAGUUUUUUGUAUCCGCAUUUUCACGUACUCGGAUUCGAUAAGUGCGUAACCGCUCUAAGAUGACUUAAGAACCUCGUCAGCUAAACUUAUAAACCUUUAUGAGCUUAGUUUAGCUAUGACAAGGUUCUUAAGCUCCUGCUUAUCCACUGAAGCGGGUAGGAGCGGAGAUAUCUUCAGCGAACCAAUCAGAUUAUUGAGAAAUAUCAUGAUAAAAUGUUUGCGUUUGUAACCUAUAUUUUAAAUUGCAAAAAUGUGUUUGUUGGUUAGUUUGUCCCUCAAUUAUAUCGCAAUGGAGCGACGGAUCGAUGUGAUUUUUCGCAUGGGUAUAUAAUUAAAGAUUUGCGGGGUAAUUCGCUAAAUCAGUGGUCAUCAGACAUCAAAUUCAUUUAACAGUGAUUGAUUCCACAUUACUGCUUCAGUGAGCGAUAUGAAGGUAAUAUUUCGUAUCAAGUCUUCAAUGGAUUUAAAAUAAAUGUCAGAUGAGCUGGGUGGCUCUCAUUAAGUGAUGAACUCAGUGAGUUAAUUCCGAAAAAGCAGAGAGUUCCCACGGGAUUUUUAAAAACACAGGUAUCAGCAAGUCUUCAAUAAUUUUGUUUGGUCUACUGAACAUCAAAUCCACUCCGUUUCAGUAGACAGAUACCUAUCCAAAAACAAAAAAAUAGAACGAAAGGUUCAAGUCACAUUAUAGCGAAGCUCCGCGACGCGCCAUUUUAAAAAAAAUAUCAAGAAAACUGCCUCUUUCCCAAAAUCUUAUAAAAUGAAUCCCUAUUUACCUUGGUCACGUCAUAUUAUAACUUGAGAACGACUUGACCAAAUUGGAUAAUUCUUUUUUGUUUUGCUUGUACUUAAGUAAUUAUUUAAAUAUGAAAGAUUUUUUUUGGAAAAUCCACGGGAAAAGACGCGGAACGCGGACGAAGUCGCGAGCAGCAGCGAUGUAAUGAAAGUACAAAGUACAAACAGUAAUGUAAAAUAAAAAGAAAACGAGGCGUAAAAGCGCACGUCUCACAAAUAAGUAGGUAUAGACCGUACAUUACGUAGUGUACAUAAAACCAUUGAUAUAAAUG